rnacentral:misc_RNA from 1 species
GCAAAAUCUUUACCAUCAUCCGAUGGAGCUAAAAGUGGAUACGAUUUACCUGUGUACGGUUUAGAGAAUGGACAAUUUUAUUCCAUUCACAUACCUGCAAUCACUUGUAUCAUUUUAAGUUUUAUAUCAGUUGUUGCUAUCUUGGUUGCAUCGUUCAGACUGCAGAGUAUCAAGACGUUCUUCUCCUGGACAAAGAGUGAACGGUUUGUGGUUUACCUUGCUCUCUGCGAUGGCCUCUUCAACGUCGCUCACAGUAUGGACCAUACUCACAUCGUACUCACAAGGAACCACGUGUACCCCAAGGAACUGUGCGAGUUCUAUGGAUUCAUGUUGGCGGAAUUCAUUACAGCACAAAACCUGAUGGUCAACGUUGUUGCGCUGAAUGUAUUCGUUUUGAUCUACUUCAAGAAGGACUUGAACUUUGGCGCCUACGAUUAUCGUCUGCUUCUCUAUACGUUCGGACUGCCCUGCGUUGGCGGGUCUGUGGCGGCUUACUUCGGAACCCUCGGUCCUAAUGGAACUUUGUAAGUAUAGUUCUGAGCAAUGACAGUUUCUAAAACAGGCUAUGUUUAUUAUACAGCUAUGUAUUAUUCACAAAUUCAUGCUAAUAUAAUUUUUUUUGUUUCAAUUCAUGAAUUCAUCAGCUGCUUAGAUUAUUAAAUCAAUAGUCCAUUCAUUAUGCUUCUUGUAGUAACAGGCUAAAAUACUAUUCUGGUAAACAAUACUAGAACAAUGGUCUCUUUUAAAAUAAGACCAUAAAAGCUGGCUCCCACGCCAAUUUAAAUAUUCUAUGAGUCUACGGCAUACUAAGUAACUUCAUAAUUAGAAAUUAUCAUGCCCCCCCCCCCCCCCCAUCCCUUAAAUCUGAAUGUAUCCAAACGGCCCACAAGGUUGAUUUAUUUGUUUAUAAUGUGUUCAGAGAAUAAAUGUAAUUCAUUUGAAUAAAUCUGACAUUAAUGAUAAAUUCUUACAGAAUGAUUCGUCGGGCGAAUGAAAUAAAACCAAUUCCUGCUGCGUUUUUUACUUUCAGCUGUUAUUUUGACGGGGUAAAGGGGGAACUGGUCAAUGUUUUCUUCACGACCGUCCCGUUACUAGCUGUCCUUCUGAUGAACAUCGUCUUUUAUGCAAUGACGUGGAGGAAGAUAAGUACCGAGUCCAGGCGACUACAGCACACCCUGGGCCAAGAGGCGGCGACCAUCCGGGCAUCUUUACAGGCCGCCAAAACCAUGUCCUUGUUCGUCACGGCUUUCUUCGCGCAGUGGUGGGCAAUGGCGCUCUAUGGAAUCUGGCAAAUGAUCGCCCCCGUCCCCCAGAGUUUGUUUCAGUUUGUGACCACUUUUUCCAACAUCGGUGGUAUACUAAACGGCGUAGUUUACAUCAUUAUCAGGCGGCGGCGGGCGACCGCCAAAGCCAAAAAGAUGGCGACAAAGGAAAAACAGUUUCAAGAUAUUAAAUCAGUCUCUGAAAAAGUAGAGAAUUCGAGUGUUUAGAAAUUGCGUUCGUGUUGUGUCUUAGUAAUUUAGACAAGCUUUAAAGGCAAACUGUUUUAUUUGACGUUUUUCGACCGUUCCAGGAUUUGAUCAAGAGUAUGCAGCUCCUGAAUAAACACAUCGAAGACAGUCGUGUCCAAGUUGAACAAAUCUAAGAGGUUUUUCUCAAUAAUUUAGCAUCCUUAAACACGUAAUACUUGAGCAGUCUGAAGCUAUAGUUUUGUAGCUUGAUCAUUUACUGUAACAUCAAGUGUAUUAAGACUUUGAUAUGUUUUGCAUUAUUAAUUUUUCAUGAUUUUUGUCAGCUCAACUGCACUGCAAAUAAUCUGUUUUUAAAUUGAUUUUACAAUGAAGGAGAUACAACCUGUACAAAUACAACUCAAAGGUACUGAGUUAUAUUUGCUUGAUAUCUGAUUUAGACAAGAUUUUAUCAUUGUUUCUCUCUGUGUAUGUUAAUUAAUUAAACACUACAUUCGCACGGUUAACCUCUUACAUAAAAAAGUAUCCCGUUGGAAAGAAUGUUAAGGUUUCAGACUUGUUCCAUAAAUAAAACAUCGUCUGCAUUCAUGGCAACUGAGAUCUAGCGCAAUUUUUUGUGCGCCGUAAAUCGCAGUUUUUUACUAUGGGAGGCACUGUAGCUCCCAGGUCGUCCAUCCGAAUUUUUUCAGACCGGGAGCUACAGACCUGCAGCUAACUAUUAAAUAGAAUUGUAUAUGCGUGGAAAUGUCACUAUGAAAAAGAAUGUGUAUACAUGUACUAACGUAUAAAUGUCAACAUUUAUGUCAAAGACAUAAGUACAUGUACAUUUAUAGUGUAUUUGGUAAAACUAGGAAAUCAACGAAUGAGGUAAAUCAGAUAAAUGGCUGGAUAGUCGUGGCCAUUUGUAAAAAAACUGAUCUUUUAAAAAAAAGCUCUCUAUAAAAAUAUAAGUAAAGUUUGAAUGUUUUAGCUAAUAUGUAUGAAUUUUGUUUCACUUAAUAAUAGCUUAUAGCAAUAAGCUUUGAAAAUCAUAUGUUAUAAUUUAAGAUAGAUCUUUUGGUUAUUUUGUUGACCAUCACGCUUCCUUAACGAAAAUCAACAAAUAGAUUAAUUAAUCAAGAAACAUAUUUCUUUCCUUCUUUAUAAAUAUUCAAUUUCUAUAUUUGUUAAUUGUUCACUCUUUGAUUAAACAACAACUUC